GAGCUGGUUGCCGCAGAGCGUGCUUCAAGGCUAAAACGAAAAAAAUGGAAAGAACUAAUUCCUGGAAGAAAUUACCUCGACUUUCUGACACAUUCACUUGAAAUGAGAAUCGUGAAGAAAUAGAAGGUAAAGAGACCUUAUUACUGUCGUUCCAAUUGAAGUGUUCCUCAAAUAUUGAUUCUAUACAUUACCUCAGGCUGACAAAUUCAUUUAUCAAGUUCCUCGAGAUAUUCAUACACUCCUGUGAAAGAGCCAAUUCCAAGAAUUUGAUCAUUUCUGGUCACUUCCUUUCUAUUUAUGAUUGGUUAGUUGCACAAACAACAAAGGUGAUUGGUGCAUUCAAACUAUUCAACAGGAAGUUUACAAUUAUACUAGGAAGUGUAUCAAUAUUUCGAGGAACUUGAUCAAAUGAAUUGGUCAGCCCGAAGUAAUGUAUUGAAUCAAUAUUUGAGGGACACUUCAAUUGGAACGACAGUAAGAUUUGACUCUUGAUUGGCUGCAUGGUUUGAGAUUUAGUAGCCAAUCAGAGGCUUGUGAAUUUCAUCGCACACACCUGCUUGUGAAUUUCAUUAUGAACUUCAUUAUUUCAUUGUGAAUUUCAUUAUUUCACACCUGCUUCUGAAUUUCAUUAUGAACUUUUGAACUUUGCAACGAAUUUGCGAAGUUCGGAACAUUUUAAGGAAAGGUUAGUUCGCUGACCUCAGAAUGACAUUUCGUCAAAACGUUUUUCUUCAAGACUGGUUUAGAAACAAACUUGGAGUAGGGUUAAGAUUAGGGUUAGGAUUAGAAUUAGUAUUUGGAAUAGGGUUAGUGUUAGUAACUCCGAAUAAAGUAAGCAUUUUGAUUCAACGUUUCGACUUUAUUUGGUCAUCAUGAUGACUAAAUAAAGUCGAAACGUUGAAUCAAAAUGCUUACUUUAUUCGGAGUUACCGUUGUAUUGUAUUUUAUGAAAAUACUCAGUGGUUCCCGCAAUUAGUGUUAGUAAAACCGUUGCUUUGUCACGUUUGUGACUCUGAGGCCAGCAAAAUAACCUCUUCCAACAUUUUAGUGAGUAAGUUGAAAUCGACAAUAAAUCUGCAUUUAAAUUAACCGCAACUACACGUUUUGGUAUCUGUGUAGGCAGUGGCGCGCUGCUAUCCGUACCUUUUAAGCACUAGUUAAAGUGUUUCCAGCCGAAAAAAUAGUGGAUAUAAAUUUAUGUGCAAUAAUUAGGAAACUGUAAUUAUUAUUACUGUUAUUAUUACUGUUAUUAUUAUUAUUGUUAUUGUUAUUGUUAUUGUUAUUGUUACUGUUACUGUUACUGUUACUGUUACUGUUACUGUUACUGUUACUGUUACUGUUACUGUUACUGUGACUGUUGCUACUGCUGCUGUUACUGUUACUGUUACUGUUAUUAUUAUUAUAUCGAAAGAUAUUGACAGAUUUCGUAGAUUAUUACGAACACUUGAAAUGAACGAUGAACGUAUUAUUAAAAAAUGUAUGGAGGUAGCUCUGAGAGCAACAUUCUACAUUUACUGCAACCCCUUGAACAACCCAGACUUACUGAAUUUUUAUUAGCUACUAUCGAUAUGAAGUGUCGAGAAUGGACCUAUCUGUCUAAUAUAGUGAACUGUUUCUCUAUUUUCCUGAUUUAAUUGAAAGUCUAAUGUGAUAUUUGUAAAAAAAUUAUCAUGUUAUUAAUAAAGAUUUCUGUUGUCUAAAAAUAAAAUAUUAUUAUUUUCGAAUUAACCAACAAUACAAUGAUGCCUCUAGUAAAUACUACAAUUCAUAAAACCCUAAUUAUAUUAAUCCAAAAGCAUAUUGUAACGUUGGCCAGUGCCCUUCCAUAAGCGAAGAGCAUUAGCUGUCAAUGUUUGUCAGCUAUUAUCAGAAGACAACUCGUGUUAAAAGUCCAGAUAAUAUUUUUCUCAUAAUUGCCUCGCUUUCCCAUAAUACUGUUUUUUGCAUUUCUCUACUUGUCCGAUUUAAAUUUUUCGCACUGUUAAACAGUUCUCUUAUAAAUUUCUUCUAUAAAAAAAAUCUUCUAAAGGUAAAAAAGUAAUAAAAAGGUAAAAAAAAUCAUGUAUUGUUUCUUGUAUCGGCUAGAUUAUCAAUACCAACUAAUUGUAGAGCUUCCAGCUUUUCUCAAUUGAUUUCAAGUCAAUCAGACAAAUGUCCAACCUGAUACUCCCCUGAGUUUUCACUUCCGCUAAGCCCCCCGAAAGCGGGUUUUGAGCUGAGCGGAAGUGUAUCAUGCAUCGAUUCCUUUUGAGUAUAUGUUUUCUAUAAUUUGUUCUAUUACAAUUUUUGUGUAGCAAUGAAUUGCGUUUCUUGUGUUAUAAUUGUGAACAUCUUUGUUACUCAAAAAAAUACAUGAUUAGUAAAAAUUUCUGAAAUGUUUUGUUAAUGAAUGAUCAUUUUGAAUGAUCAUUUUGAAAACCCUGAGUAUCAGGUUAACAAAUGUCCUGAUAUCUAUUACCACACUGGUGCAGUAUAUUCCAAGGUGCUCAUUGUCCCGUUCAUGACCUCGGGCGCCUGUUUGGUAUAAAAGCAAAGCUUGUCUCUUUUUUGUUGCCGUCCUUCCUGCAUGCAUGUGGGAUCUAACCAGGUGACGUCAUCACUACAAAAUUUGGAUUUCCAGGCUAUACAAAAUUCAUGCAUUAAUGCACGACAUCAUACCUGGCAACUUUCACGUGAGAUCAAGAUAUCGUUUUCUUUUACUGUAAAGAUACAAUUCAUUAACUUCUUAGAAUAACACAAACAUUAUUAUAUACACAUACCAAAAUUCAUGUUUCGUGCUUUUCUGACUCGGCUGCGCCUCGCGUUUUAUAUCUGAUAAAGCACUCCUAUAUACUCGUGUUUUAAAUAGUACUUAAAGAAUCAGUCUCAGGGUAAUGCAUUGCGCGCUUGGUCGUCCAUUUUUGGGUGCCCCUAAAAUGGCGACGUUCGUCUGUUACGAGUUGCGUCAAUUGACUGCGUGAAUAUCCGAAUAAUCUCUUUGAUAAAUUAUUAUUCCUUUUUCUAAUUCUUUACCAUUCGUCGCAACCAGAAUACUUGAUAUAAGUGGAUUACUACGCUUAGAGUAAAGAGUUUAUGGCUUGUAAUGCCCGAUGCAAAUAAUUUUCACGCUCUUACUUAUAUAUGAGAGAUAAUCGUGAACAUUUCUAGCUGUCAUUGCAUAGUGAAUAAAAUUUUGAGCGAGUAAAUACAAUAUGUAAAUCAAUCAAUCGAUUAAUCAAUCAAUCAUAGUCACUAUCCUGAUCAUUUUGCGAUUUGUCAGGAGGCAAAUGGUGUUUCCAAAGAAAAAUAUAAAACGUUAGUCUGCAGAACAUUGUACAAGGAGUUAUUAAACUUAUAUGUCAACAGCUAAAAGUAGUAAAGGACAUGUGUGACAAAUGAAUGUAUCUUUUGUAACUUUUUGGCUAUAGGGGUGAGUAAUAUUUAUUAUUUACUUGUAGUUUGUGACGUUAUUUCUAAAAAGAGACAUCGCCAAGCAGAUUUGGUCAAAAAGCUAGCAGAAUUGUUACAACUUAUUGUUACAAGCUUCUUAGAAGCUUGUUGCGAACACAUCUUGUUGACAAGUUGUGAGAUUUUUAUGUGCAUUUUAUGUGUAGUUUUUGAACAGGUGUACUAAUAGUAAAAAUUGGCAAAGUUCGAAUUUCCUAUAUGCAGACUUCGGUCCGAUAAAAAAACUUGCUCGUCUGUAAUCGGCCUUAUGCAUGCAUGCAUGGAAACUUGAAUUCCCCACAUGCAGAAAAACCGUGCUUACGGUCAGACGAAAAACUGGGUAGGUCACAGUUGUGACGUCAAACGGACGUUUAUAUUAUCCGACAAAGCAAAAUUUUAUUUGUCAAACAUACAAAGAGCGUUAUUUUGCGUCAGCAAAGCAGGCUUUUCAAUGACGUGCAAACAUGCACGCCAACUUCUGCUUUUCGCAGGUACUUCAAGAUUUCUAAGUGGGAUAUCCAAUGAAAAAAAUAAGCCUAGUGGCAAAUCGUGUCAGCCGCCAUAGUAUAACACGUGGAGUGACUUUGUGCCUGAUAAAACUCAACUUCAUUAGCAUUCUUUAUAUAAUUGUUCAUCCUAGGCGGGCUUUUCAGUCAAGCAAACAUGCGCCAACUCCCGCUUUUCGCAGGUACUUCAAGAUUUGACGUUACCGAAAGUGGGAUAACCCUUCCGACUUUGUGGACCUAAUACUUAAUCGUGUUUUUUUUUCAUACUUACUUUUUACUUCAAUUGACUUAAGGAAUUGCGUGCUCAGUGUAACAAGGUCUAUAACGACGUGAUUGAAUAAAACAACUAAUUUUUUUGUACAUUACACCAAUACAGAAAAAAUCAUAAUUUUUUUUUGUUUUUUAUAUAAACGUUAUGUGUGCUCCAAAAGGCUUAUCAAGGUUGACAUGAAAACAAACACAGUUUGUUUUUUUUUAUUACAAAGUUAAAUACGAAAAAGAACACAAACACUACGAUAGAGCAUCUGACCAUAGCAGAAACGACAAGUACUCAAAAUAAAACGUUGUACUAUAAUCUAUAUACCAAACAACAAAUAAUUUUGCUCACAGCUUAAUUGAAUUGAUCCGAAAUGUUUGUGAUAGGUACUGCUGAGCGGGUUAUAAUUUAACUGAGGUGAUGUAAAGUCCGUAGGCCUACAUUCCAAUGGUCGUCGGGACCCGGCCAUGGCAUUGGGAUGUUGUUAAUAUUUCGCACCUUUCGAACUUUCUUGAAUUGAAUCUCUAGUCUGUAUAUUAUCUAUCUGAUCAUAUUUUACAACUGUAGCACUAUAAGUUCAAAAUGUAAAUAAAGCGUUUGUUUACAUUACGAACUUUACAUCACAUUUAAUCAUAAGCAUUCGAUAAUCUAUAAUCGCUGAUGUAUAAAGCUGCUUGCGAAAACUUCAAAUUCGGCAUGUUCAAAAUCUAUACUUCCUACUCAACAGCCUAGUAUUGGCUAUUACUGCUAAUUUCAAAAAUUCUUCAGAAGUUUAACGGGAGUUGAAAUUAAUGAAUUUUUGGUUUGUUUCUAAUCUCUUCAUGUUGGUUUGUUUUGCGAUUUUCUUUUCAACGCUUGUUCCUCACAUUGAUGGGUUCUUCAGAACUGGUUGCCGAAGAGCGUGCUUCAAAGCUAAAACAAAAAAAAUGGAAAGGACUAAUUCCAGGAAGAAAUUGCCUCCAUUCUCUGACACAUUCAGUUGAAAUGAAACUUGUGAAGUUUAGAAGGUAAAAUUCUUAGAGAUUUCACUCUUGAUUGGCUGGUUUGACUGUUUAGUAGCCAUGCAAUUAGAGACUUUGUUUACAAAGUUAACUUGCUUGUCAAUUCAUUAUGAACUUUAAAACAAGACUUAUUAUGGUCUAUUAUUUAUAAUAAAAUUUACAAAUUGGUUUGUAAACUGAGCAUUUGAUUGGCUGGUUUGAUUUAGUAGCCAAACAGAUGCUUUGUUUACUGACUCGCAUGCACAAUUCAUGCACAAGCAUGAAUUUCAUUAUGAACUUUUGAACGUUGCAACAAAUUAGCGAAGUUUGCGGAACAAAGUUGGGGAGAUUUUUAGGGAAGAAGUUAGUUCGCUGACCUCAGAUUGACAUUUCGUCAAAACUUUUUUCUUCAAGAUUGGUUUAGAAACAAACUUGUAGCAGGGGUAGGUUAAGGCUAGGGUUUUAAUCAUUCAUAAAAAUUCGGGCAAAAUUUCAAAAGUUUAGUAUAUAUAUUAUCGAAUAAUAAUCUCCGUCCUAUUUCCAUUCUUCCAAGUCUAUCCAAAUUCUUUGAACGACUCGUUCGUCGCCAACUGUCUGAUUUCGUAACCAAUACAACCACUGGAGUACUUAAUCGAUAUCAAUCCAUUAGUACUUACCGCAAAGGUCACAACAAAUACGACAGGUAUGUUGGCAAUGCGAGAUGAUAUUCAGCGAGCUAUGAAAAGAGGUGAAGUCACGAUAGCUGUUCACUUCUAGCAGAUUUCUCGAAAGCGUUCGUUCGAUACUGUGUCGUAUUUUACCAUCUUAAGAAAACUCCAUUCACAAGGUUUCUCCAAAAAAUAUCUCAAAUGGGUCACAAGCUAUCCGACUGGUCGACGACAGUUUGUUCAGAUAGACGACGCAGUGUCAAACACAUCUAACGUUUGUUUUGGAGUUCCACAAGGGUCUAUACUUGGUCCUGUUCUCUUCAACCUAUAUGUCAAUCAUCUCUCUGAAAACCUUGGCAAUUCUAUAUCUUCACAUCAGUAUCCGAUGACACUACUAUCUAUGCACAUUGUAAGCCAGCUGACAUAAAGUCAUGUGAAGAGAAAAUUCAAUCCAAUCUAGAUAAACCUUCCACCUGGUCUAGUUGUAAUAACCUUGUUCUUAACCCCAAUAAAACAAAAGUCAUGCUUUUCUCGAUGAAGAUCGUUCUGUUCAUGUUAAUGGAAUUGAACUUAAAAGAACUAAAUGUGCGGCUUUUGUUGGUAUUGCAUCACCAAAUUCAAAAUGGAAUGAUGAAGUUGAGAAAAUUGAAACAUUUGGCACCAUUUAAAAUUCGGAAGCAACUCGCGAAGUGUAUGGUGCUAUCAAAAAUUGAUUACAACGAUGUCGUGUCUAGUCCAGCACCAGAAUACCCAUUAAAACGCUUACAACGAGUGCAGUUCGCUGCUGCUGGCUUUGUAUUUAAUAGGUACGCUAGAUUCACUGAUGUCAUGUCUCUCGGUUGGCUUCCAAUUUUGGAACGAAUUAUCAUCUUGCCAAAUUAGCAUACAAAGCAAUGAAUUGCGAUGACUGGCCUUCAUACUUAAAAUUUUAGGAAUAUAUUCCUAUAUAAGAACAUUACGAUCAUCAUCUGCCCGGCGUUUAGUAGCGCUAGCCCUUAUUAUCACUGAAACUUUUCAAGAUGAAGCAGGUCAAGUGUUUAAUUCUUUACCUGAAGCAAUUCGAAUCUCAUGCGAUACAUUUAAAGAUUAUUGCAAAAACAUUAGCCAAAAACAGAAUCAGUGACACGUCGUAAAACUUUGUUGAUGUAGCUUAGUGUGUAUAACUAUUACAUUAUUAUUUAUCUCAAAAAUGUAUUUACGGAUCGUAAUAUAAAUCCAAUUAUAGGGAUACAAUCUAUCUAAGACUAAAAUAUAAUUAAGUCUCUAUUUACACUAACUAGUGCAUAAUAAGUGGUGUUAGUUAUUUAAGAGAAAUAUCAAAAAUAGUAUUUAAAGCAGGUAAAAAAUUGUCUACUUUUUUAGUUCAACUGUUGAAAUUUUGACACAAGAGAAGUUCUUCGGCUUUAUCUCUAAGCGGAUGCUUGCAGUUUUGAUCAGCGUAUGUUUGUAUAGUAACGCAUGCAAAGGGUGAUCGGUGUUUUUCAUUUUGUUCAUGUAUUUUUCACAUAUAUGAUAUUUCUUCUAUCGGCUAGAUUAUCAAUCCCAGCUAACUGUAGGGCUUCCAGCUUUUCUCAACUGAUUUCAAGCCAAUCAGACAAUUCAAAUUGUCCUGCCGCGAAUACAUCUAUUGCCACACUGGUGCAGCAUAUUCCUAGGUGGUCAUUGAGUUCAUGACCUCGGGCGCCUGUUUGGUAUAAAAGCAAAGUUUGUCUCUUUUAUGUUGCCGUCCUUCUUGCAUGCAUGUGGGGUCUAACCAGGUGACGUCAUCACUACAAAAUUUGGAUUUCCAGGCUAUACAAAAUUCAUGCAUUAAUGCGCGACAUCAUACCUGGCAACUUUCACUUGAGAUCAAGAUAUCGUUUUUUUUACUGUAAGUCUGUAAACAUACAAUUCAUUAAUUUCUUAGAAUAACACAAACAUUAUUAUAUACACAUAUAUACCAAACUCAUGUUUCGUGGCUUUUCACUCGUAUACUAUUGGUUUGCCGAAUUGCAUCGCACAUCCUUUGUACGAAGGAAGAGGAUCGAGUUUGUUUACUGGUGCAUGUUCCACGAUUCUUGCGUAUUUCAGAGCUCUUCUCAAAUGAUAUGAAAAACUUAAUUCUUAUUAUUCUAUCGGUACUUUCAGCUCCACAAUCGUCGGGAAUAAAAGUGGCUAAUUUAACUUGAAAAUGUGCUUCUCAUUAUAAAAGUGAGCGACUGAUAAAGGAUUUAUUAAAGUGGAAGUCAAGUCCGUAAUGUAAACAAACUGUUUGUUUACAUUUUGAACUGCUGUAGCUUUUAAAAUAUGAUGUACUGUCUGAAUAUCUAACACUAUUUUGGUAUGCUUCUAAAUGAAUAUGAAAUAGAGUUUAUGUUCAGAAAAAUUCGAAACAUUCGAAAUUUGGGCAAUUUUCACAUUAGAGGGUCCUCACAUUGUUAUGAGCAGAACCGAUGCGCAGAACGGACUUGACUUCCACUUUAACAUUAUAGAAAUUACAUAAAUUUUAAAGACGUUUCGAUGUUAACGGCAAUUAACACGUGAUUUACACGUCAUUAUAUCAACUAGUCUAUAAAUAAGAUUAAGGAAGUUUGUUUAUAAAGUACAUGCAGGUUAAUGAAUUAACAAGCCAUUAAUUUAAGAUGAAUAAUUCGAUUAAUAUUUAGCACAUGCAUUAUAUAACGUAAUUACUCUUUACUUAAACAAUAUUUAGAUCUUUACAUUUGCCCCUAGAGCUUAGAACUCAUCGUUGGGGCCCACGUAAACUUCACAAAUUGACACUACAAUAAAAGACAAAUUACAUCAAAUCGCUUCAAAUUAGGCUAAUAUGCAACACUGAAUUGCCCAUUUAGUAUAAUCUUCAUGAUCUGAAAACGUCCUGACUAAUUCUUUAAUAAAUAAACUUACUGCAGAAAAUUUGCAGCAUUACCACAAGCAUACAACCUCUAAUUUGGUACACCGUUCAAUAAGGCAUCCACUUUUUCAAUUUCAAUUUAAGAAAUUGCUACAAAAAGGAAUUAUUUACAAAAGAAACGUACAUUAAGUAUGACAAAAUACAUGUGACGAGGAAGCCCAAGUAGAAACUAUAAGGCUAAUUGAGUUGUGGGCUUCCUAGUCAUUUAUAAUAAGCAUUAAAAUAUUGAAUUCACAUGCAGGUGUGCUAGUAGUCAGAUAGAAUGAACUAAAUAAGGCAUAUCUCGGUGGGUUAGACAUCAAAGUAUAUUAAAUAUAUAUUAUAUAGGCGAGAGAAUAAAAAAUAUUUUAAUUUGGAUUGCAUGGAAUUUUUGAAGAGUUGGUGCAUUACGAAUAUCGUUACCCAGUGCAGUAUAUAUGUACAGUAUAUAUGAUUACAUGCAAUGUAUACAAUGUACAGUAUAUAUAAAUAUAUAUAUAUAUAUAUAUAUAUAUAUAUAUAUAUAUAUAUAUAUAUAUAUAUAUAUAUAUAUAAUUUCGCUUACCUCAAAAUUCCGCAACAGUCUGUUUCAUCAGUAAAAAAUCAUCGUACCACCUGAUGAUUCUUUACUGAUGAAACAGACUGUUGCGGAAUUUUGAGGUAAGCGAAAUUCUAUAUUUGCUUUAUUUUUAUGGUAUUGAGCACUCUUCGCGUCUCGUAUACAUAAACCUAUAUAUAUAUAUAUAUAUAUAUAUAUAUAUAUAUAUAUAUAUAUAUAUAUAUAUAUAUAUAUAUAUAUAUAUAUAUAUAUAUAUAUAUAUAUAUAUAUAUAUAUAUAUAUAUAUAUAUAUAUACCGGGUGGCGCAAAAAAAAGUUAACCUGUUUGAUUUAAUUUAACUAAAAGACUAAAAGAGCUAUUACACCUAAACUACGUGCAUUGCAUUUAGUAUUGUCUGACUUAAAUUUUGAUAUACGCCCCGUGCAAUUUCGUGCAAUAUUGACCGAGAGAGCUGCGUUUAAACUUGAAUAAACAUUUUGGGAAAUGUUGAGAAUUAGCUAAAAACGGCUUGUUAAACUAAUUGAUAACCGUUACCAUUUUACCGUAAAUAUUAUUUUCAAUGAAGUGAAGUUUAAAUUAAAAAUCUUUAUUGGAUCGAUGUGCUCUUUUAUUUUUGUUUAAGAUCUUUGGGAAUGCAUGAAAAUUAAAUUAUGAAACGAUUUUGACUAAAAGAUUUAUUCUAUAAAUAUUCAAUGAUUCUGGGGAAUCAAAUUCUAAUGUUUCAAGAAAGAAACGUCAAGUGUUUUUUUAUAAAUACGCCUCGUUUAACGAAAGACCAAAGAGUUUCGAUAUUUUUAGAACAUGCAAGGGUAAAUAAUGCUCGUGAGGUUAUACCGGCGGCGUUGGGCAGGUCUCUGACAACGAACGUGUACUUUCUGACUAUAGUUCGCCUAAGCACAGGUUAUUGCUGUAUUAAAUAUUUGAUAGGCCGUUUUUGGCUAAUUCUCGACACUUCCAAAAAUGCUUACUCAAGUUUAAACGCAGCCCUCUCGGUCAAUAUCGCACGAAAAUGCACAGGGCGUAUAUCAAAAUUUAAGUUAGACAAUACUGAAUGCAAUGCACGUAGUUCACGUGUAAUAGCUCUUUUAGCAUUUAAGUUAAAACAAAUCAAAGAGGUUAACUUUUUUUUGCGCCACCCGGUAUAUAUAAGUAGGUUUACACUCUCAUCCGUAAACAUAUACCUCAUUUCCAGAAAUAUUGAAGUUGGGCAAAUUUAAACAUAAGUUGGGCAAGAAGAUGGGGAAAUAAACUGAAAAUAAAGAAAUAAGUACUAGGGAAAUAGUCGAAAUUAAAAUGCAAGUAAUGUGUAAGGUGACAAGAAUUCUGGAAAAUUUUGCAUGAAAAUUUAGUAUGCCGGGAUGAGUCUGGCAAAAUGCAAAAAGUCGGGUAAAUUUCUUUACGCCAUCCUAAUCCCCCCGUAUAUGCCAAUGCCCUCAACCUUGCUUGAUCCGCGGGGCUUUAAGUCAAUCGUCUACAACUGCAUGGCUUCGGUCCUGUCCGGGACUUUUAUGGAAAUGCUUUAAUGCUGGUCACCACAACUUUUCUUUUCUCACUUCUACAGAUGACGCGGAUCCAAGGUCGGAUGACAAGUAUAGACAUGACGCAAGGACAGACACAUGUCGGCAGACGAACGCAUAAGAGAAAUUAUGAACCAUAAUGUACAUUAGCAAUAGCAUCAGGUUUUGAAGGAUUUUAAGAAAUAUUUGUG